UUCUUAUUAGCUUAAUGGUAAAGCUAGGUACUUCUAAUGCCUUGAUUCUAGUUCGAAUCUAGAAUAAGAAU
rnacentral:tRNA from 1 species